rnacentral:miRNA from 1 species
UUAGCCAGCUGAGUGGGGAGGAGAGAGGGACAGAGAGCCUGCUAGCUCCUCUCCUCUCCCGCUUUGCUCCUUUAAAGCAAGCAGGCUCUCUGUCCCUCUCUCCUCCCCACUCAGUGGCUCU